rnacentral:rRNA from 1 species
AGUAACGGCGAGUGAAGCGGCAACAGCUCAAAUUUGAAAUCUGGCCUCUUUGGGGUCCGAGUUGUAAUUUGUAGAGGAUGUUUCGGGUACCGCCUCGGUUUAAAUUUCUUAGAACAGAAUGUCAAAGAGGGUGAGAAUCCCGUCUUGGACCGGCGGUAGGGCCCAUGUGAAACUCCUUCGACG